rnacentral:rRNA from 1 species
ACGUAGGGUGCGAGCGUUAAUCGGAAUUACUGGGCGUAAAGCGUGCGCAGGUGGCUAUGCAAGACAGGUGUGAAAUCCCCGGGCUUAACCUGGGAACUGCAUUUGUGACUGCAUGGCUAGAGUGUGGUAGAGGGGGAUGGAAUUCCGCGUGUAGCAGUGAAAUGCGUAGAUAUGCGGAGGAACACCGAUGGCGAAGGCAGUCCCCUGGACCUGCACUGACACUCAUGCACGAAAGCGUGGGGAGCAAACAGGA